CGGGAGCAUUGUGUAAGCCUGUGAAGGUGUGUUGUAAAGCAUGCUGGAGGUAUCACAAGAGCGAAUGCUGACGUGAGUAACGACAAUGCGAGUGAAAAGCUCGCACGCCGGAAGACCAAGGGUUCCAGUCCAACGUUAAUCGGGGCUGGGUGAGUCGACCCCUAAGGCGAGGCCGAAAGGCGUAGUCGAUGGGAAAUCGGUUAAUAUUCCGAUACUUGUUUAUGAUGCGAUGGAGGGACGGAGAAGGUUAUGCCAGCUUGGCGAUGGUUGUCCAAGUGGAAGGAUGUAGUUAGGUUUAGUAGGCAAAUCCGCUAGACUAUUAAUGAGAUCUGAUAGCAAGCUGUACUUGUACAGCGAAGUGGCAAAUACCCUGCUUCCAGGAAAAGCUUCUAAGCGAUAGUCAUAAACAAAUCGUACCCCAAACCGACACAGGUGGUCAGGUAGAGAAUACCAAGGCGCUUGAGAGAACUCGGGUGAAGGAACUAGGCAAAAUGGUGCCGUAACUUCGGGAGAAGGCACGCUGAUAUGUAGGUGAGGUCCCUCGCGGAUGGAGCUGAAAUCAGUCGAAGAUACCAGCUGGCUGCAACUGUUUAUUAAAAACACAGCACUGUGCAAACACGAAAGUGGACGUAUACGGUGUGACGCCUGCCCGGUGCCGGAAGGUUAAUUGAUGGGGUUAGCGCAAGCGAAGCUCUUGAUCGAAGCCCCGGUAAACGGCGGCCGUAACAAUAACGGUCCUAAGGUAGCGAAAUUCCUUGUCGGGUAAGUUCCGACCUGCACGAAUGGCGUAAUGAUGGCCAGGCUGUCUCCUCCUGAGACUCAGCGAAGUUGAAAUGUUUGUGAUGAUGCAAUCUACCCGCGGCUAGACGGGAAGACCCCAUGAACCUUUACUGUAGCUUUGCAUUGGGCUUUGGAUAAAUUUGUGUAGGAUAGGUGGGAGGCUUUGAAGCGAGGACGCUAGUUCUCGUGGAGCCAACCUUGAAAUACCACCCUGAUUUGUUUAGAGUUCUAACCUUGGUCCGUGAAGCCGGGCUGGGGACAGUGCAUGGUAGGCAGUUUGACUGGGGCGGUCUCCUCCAAAAAGGUAACGGAGGAGUUCGAAGGUACGCUAGAUACGGUCGGAAAUCGUAUUGAUAGUGCAAUGGCAUAAGCGUGCUUAACUGCGAGACCUACAAGUCGAGCAGAUGCGAAAGCAGGACAUAGUGAUCCGGUGGUUCUGUAUGGAAGGGCCAUCGCUCAACGGAUAAAAGGUACUCUGGGGAUAACAGGCUGAUUCCUCCCAAGAGUUCACAUCGACGGGGGAGUUUGGCACCUCGAUGUCGGCUCAUCACAUCCUGGAGCUGAAGUAGGUCCCAAGGGUAUGGCUGUUCGCCAUUUAAA
rnacentral:rRNA from 1 species